GCACCAUUUUAGAAAAGAAAAAGAAGCCAUGGCCUGAAUGAAGUUUCACUGUAUAAAAGGUUUGUUUUGGCUGCUGGCUUUGCUGCUUUUGGACAAGACAGAAAAAAAGCCUUUUUUCCUGUCAGCCUGAUGAAUGUGGAUGGAGAGGAAGAGAGGUGGUUCUGACGUGAAUCUUUUUACCCACCUGAGGUUGAAACCUGCAAGUUUGAGGCUGCCAUGCCAACAAUGCCAAUUUUGCUGGAUAUGAUGGGAAUCUGCCGUGUCUGUACUCACAAUGUCCAGAACUCACUAUUAGAUGUUACUCUAC